UUUGAAUCCAGGAUCUCUGUGGCGUUUUCUUUCUGAAAUAUCCAAGUAGAAGUUAUAAAUCACAAUAAAGGAGAAUGAGAUUCAAU